UAGGGAAUAUUGGACAAUGGAGGCAACUCUGAUCCAGCCAUGCCGCGUGAAGGAAUAAGGCCCUAUGGGUUGUAAACUUCUUUUAGACGGGACAAAACCCCUUUACGUGUAAAGGGUUGAUGGUACUGUCAGAAUAAGCAUCGGCUAACUUCGUGCCAGCAGCCGCGGUAAUACGUAGGUGACAAGCGUUAUCCGGAAUUACUGGGCGUAAAGCGCACGCAGGCGGCUGAUUAAGUUUGACGUGAAAUCUCCUGGCUUAACUGGGAGGGGUCGUUGGAAACUGGUCGGCUGGAGGGAGUGAGAGGGCUGUGGAAUUCCUGGUGUAGUGGUGGAAUGCGUAGAUAUCGGGAGGAACACCAGUGGCGAAAGCGGCGCCCUGGCACUGGCCUGACGCUCAUGUGCGAAAGCGUGGGGAGCGAACG
rnacentral:rRNA from 1 species